rnacentral:rRNA from 1 species
AUUCUUGGUCAUUUAGAGGAAGUAAAAGUCGUAACAAGGUUUCCGUAGGUGAACCUGCGGAAGGAUCAUUACUGAAGUUUUAUAACGAGUUGUUGCUGAUUUCGUGCACGCUUGUUAUUCUUCAUUUCUCCAUUAUUUGUGCAUCACUUGUGUGGAUCUUUGUCCGAGUUCAUCUCGGACGAUUGGGGACUGCUUUGCAAAGUUACUAUUUGUGGGGCUUUCCUUGUAUCUGCAUGUUUUUCACAUACACCAAAUGUUUAGAAGGAAAUAAAUUUGAAUUUUUAUACAACUUUCAGCAACGGAUCUCUUGGCUCUCGCAUCGAUGAAGAACGCAGCGAAAUGCGAUAAGUAAUGUGAAUUGCAGAAUUCAGUGAAUCAUCGAAUCUUUGAACGCAUCUUGCGCUCCUUGGUAUUCCGAGGAGCAUGCCUGUUUGAGUGUCAUUAAUAUCUCAACCACAUCUUGUGGCUUGGACUUGGAGGAAUGUGCAGGCUCUGACUCUCGUAGUCUGCUCCUCUGAAAAUUAUAAGCGGUACCUACAUUGGAACUUUGGCUAGGUGUGAUACAUAUCUGCAUCUAAUCGAGGUCACCUAUUGGUUAUGCUGCUGAUCAUUACGACUUGAUAAACUUGACCUCAAAUCAGGUAGGACCACCCGCUGAACUUAAGCAUAUCAAUAAGCGGAGGAAAUC